UACGUAGGUGGCAAGCGUUGUCCGGAAUUAUUGGGCGUAAAGCGCGCGCAGGCGGUCUUUUAAGUCUGCUGUGAAAGCCCCCGGCUCAACCGGGGAGGGUCAUUGGAAACUGGGAGACUUGAGUGCAGAAGAGAAGAGUGGAAUUCCACGUGUAGCGGUGAAAUGCGUAGAGAUGUGGAGGAACACCAGUGGCGAAGGCGACUUUCUGGCCUAUAACUGACGCUGAGGCGCGAAAGCGUGGGGAGCAAACAGG
rnacentral:rRNA from 1 species